GCUUAAACCCUGAACCCAAUUUCUCCGCCACCACCAUGCGCCACCUCCUGAGCUCUCUCCGCCGCAAUCAGCUGAAUCACCGCCGUAUAACGCCGCGUAUCCAUUCCAUCUUCUGUGCAAAUUACAAGCCGCAGAAGCCUCAACCACCGCCAGCACCACCAUCUCCUCCAAAACCUCCUAAAAAGCCGGUGACUUUCACUCAUCACGGCGAGUCAUGGGAGGAUCCUUACAGCUGGAUGUCACAGCUCAAUGACAAAGUAGCCAUGCGCCAUAUGGAUGUGUACAUGGAACAAGAGGAGAAAUACAUUGAAGCCGUUAUGUCCGAUACCGAACGCCUCCAGUCCAAACUUCAGUCAGAAAUGGGCUCUCGCUUGUCAAAUGAACUCUCCACACCUCCCCUUCGUUGGGGUCCUUGGUUGUACUAUAGGCGAGUGGAAGAAGGGAAGCAGUAUCCAGUGCUGUGUAGAAGGUUAGCACGGGCAAAUGAAGAUUUCAUUUCCAAUAGAUCUCCUUCAGCAGGUUUCGAUUUUACUUCGGGGAAGAGAAUUGAGCAGAAGCUUCUUGACUACAAUGAAGAAGCUGAAAGAUUUGGAGGUUAUGCAUAUGAAGAAUUAUCAGAAGUGUCCCCUGAUCACCGAUAUCUAGCUUACACAAUGUAUGAUAAGGAUAACGAUUUCUUUAAAUUGUCUGUGCGAGACUUAAAUUUCGGUUCACUAUGUAGUAAGCCCCAAGCAGAUCGGGUUUCAAACAUAGCUUGGGGGAAAGAUGGACAAGCAUUACUCUAUGUUGUCACUGAUCACUGUAAGAGGCCUUAUAGAAUCUACUGUAGUAUGAUUGGGUCUGAACAAGAUGAUGUGUUGCUUAUAGAAGAGCCUAGCGAGAAUGGCUAUGUAAACAUAAGACAUACUAAGGAUUUCCAGUUUCUAACAGUACAUAUAUUCUCGACUACAUCAUCAAAGAUCUUUCUGAUAGAUGCUGCUGAUCCUUUGUCUGGUAUGAUACCUGUGUGGGAAUGUGAGGCUCAAGCCCACUGUGUUGUCGAGCAUCACCAAGGGUAUCUUUACCUAUUUACUGAUGCGGCUAAAAAUGGACAAUUAGUUGAUCACCAUUAUCUUUUACGUAGUCCAGUUAACUGCUCACUGAACAAAAGAAAGUGGGAGAAUAUAUUCAGUGAUGACUCGGAGUUCAUAAUUGAAGACGUCGAUUUCAGUGACAAGCACUUGGUUCUCAUUGUGCGGGACGGACGAAAUUUUAGACUUUGUCCCAUUUCUCUUCCUCUGCCAAGUACGAAGGAAGAGAUUAAGCUCAAAGAGCUUAGUCCACAGUUUUUACCUCUUCCAAAGAAUGUCUGUCAAAUUAAGCCUGGAACUAAUUAUGACUUCUACUCCUCAACAAUGCGAUUCACAAUAUCAUCCCCUUUGAUGCCUGAUGCAGUUGUCGAUUAUGACUUAUCAAACGGAAAAUGGAACAUAGUACAGCAGCAAAACUUGCUUCAUGAAAGAACAAGAGUAUUGUACGGAACAUCAUCUUCAGCUAGUUUUAUUCAGAGCGCGAGGAAAGUAGGCUCUAAUAACGAAGUCAAUCCUGAAAAUCAUUCUACAUGGAAUGAUCUUUCUGAGUUCUAUGCCUGUGAAGUUCACAAUGUCAAGUCUUAUGAUGGUAUUAUUGUUCCUUUGACUGUUGUCUAUUCUCCAAAGAGGAAAAAGCAAGCUGAGAAUCCCGGAUUACUUCAUGGACAUGGAGCUUAUGGAGAGAUACUGGACAAACGAUGGCGCAGUGAGUUAAAAAGCCUUCUCGAUCGUGGUUGGGUCAUUGCAUAUGCUGAUGUCAGAGGUGGAGGAGGUGGGGGGAAAAAGUGGCACCAUGAUGGCAGGCGAACAAAGAAGAUCAAUUCCAUUUAUGAUUACAUAUCCUGUGCUAAAUUCCUAAUUGAGAGGGAAAUUGUGCAAGAUAACAAGCUCGCUGGGUGGGGUUACAGUGCUGGGGGGCUAUUGGUGGCUUCAGCUAUAAAUUCUUGCCCAAGUCUAUUGCGGGCAGCAGUUUUGGAGGUACCAUUUUUGGAUCCAACAAACACUCUCCUCAAUCCAAUCUUACCACUUACACCUGCUGACUAUGAUGAGUUUGGGUACCCCGGGGACAUUACUGACUUCCAGGCAAUCCGCAAAUAUUCACCUUACGAUAACAUUCAAAAAGAUCUUGUAUAUCCAGCUAUUCUGGUGACAUCUUCAUUCAACACAAGGUGGAACGAGUGCUAAACAAGCUCCAAUGAUAUCCACCCAUAUUAGGUGUUUUUCCUUAUCUAGCACCGCUCAUGUGCUACAGUGCUAUGAUCGACAACUAGGAAGGACCGUGUAUUAUAAUGAACCUGAUCCACCAAGAAUUAUUCCAAGGUGUAAAAUGACUGAAACCAUCGUCAUCCAUUUAUGGGUUACCAAGAGUUGCUCCAAAGUCAUUAAGUGAAUAAUUGCAUAGGUUUGGAGUGUGGGAAGCUGCAAAAUAUGUUGCUCGGGUGCGUGAAUGUUCCAUUUAUGAUCCUAAACACCCAGUAUUACUUAAUUUGACAGCUGACAUAGUUGAAGAAAAUCGAUACCUGCACUGCAAGGAGUCAGCGC